UGCCAGCCGCCGCGGUAAUACGGAGGGUGCGAGCGUUAAUCGGAAUUACUGGGCGUAAAGCGCGCGUAGGUGGUCAGUUAAGUCGGAUGUGAAAGCCCCGGGCUCAACCUGGGAACUGCAUUCGAUACUGGCAGACUAGAGUGCGAGAGAGGGAGGUAGAAUUCCAUGUGUAGAGGUGAAAGUCGUAGAUAUUUGGAGGAACACCAGUGGCGAAGGCGGAUCACUGGCUCGAUACUGAAGCUGAGUUACGAAAGCCAGGGGAGAGAAAGGGAUUAGAUA
rnacentral:rRNA from 1 species